GAUGAACGCUAGCUACAGGCUUAACACAUGCAAGUCGUGGGGCAUCAUGAUGUAGUAAUACAUCGAUGGCGACCGGCGCACGGGUGAGUAACGCGUAUCCAACCUACCCUCCACUCAAGUAUAGGCUUCCGAAAGGGAGAUUAAUCCUUGAUAUCGUCAUUCUCUCUCCUGUUAGAAUGAUAAAAGGACAUCGUUUCGGUAGAGGAUGGGGAUGCGUUCCAUUAGGUAGUAGGUGGUUUAACAGGCCACCUAGCCGAUGAUGGAUAGGGGUUCUGAGAGGAAUAUCCCCCACACUGGUACUGAGAUACGGACCAGACUCCUACGGGAGGCAGCAGUGAGGAAUAUUGGUCAAUGGGCGCAAGCCUGAACCAGCCAUGUAGCAUGAAGGAUGACGGUUUUUUUGAUUGUAAACUUCUUUUCUGUGCGAUUAAAGUGUGGCAUUUAUGCCAUAGGGCAGUAUCUCAGGAAUAAGCUCG
rnacentral:rRNA from 1 species